rnacentral:lncRNA from 1 species
GUCAUGCUGCGCUUGGGAGGCGCGGGGCUAGUGCGGGACCUGCGGGUGGUGUGGCCCGCAUGGCUGCGAGGUCCGGGUGGACUCCCGCUGGCCCUGGCGCGCACCACAGGGACGUCGGGAGCGCGGGACCGGCGAGCGCCGGCCUCCGGGACGCAGCGCGGGCGCGCACUCAGCCUGUCCGCCGCAGCCGUAGUGAACUCGGCGCCCCGCCCGCUGCAGCCCUACCUGCGGCUCAUGCGCCUGGACAAGCCCAUCGUACUAGGAGUGAAACUCAAAGCGCCUUCCACAUGCUAGUCAAGCGACAUACCACUGGGCUACAUCGCUGGUCACUUAACCGAUGUUAUUCCAGGAAGUUUCGGCAGGUGGCGCUGUUUCUACCAGGUUGGCAGUGUGUUUCCCACUUCACUGCAGUUCCCGGUUGUCUUAAGGGAAAUAUAUCAUUAGAGAAUCGUAAGCUCAGUCUACACAGGCAUUUUGCCCUGCCAUCCCAUUCAGAAGCUGACCAUUUUAUUUCCUCUCCCAGAGACUUUCCAUUUUGUAAUAAACAUGUCUGUCUACUA